rnacentral:tRNA from 1 species
GUGAGGUAGCUCAGUUGGUAGAGCACAGGUUUGUGGUACCUGAUGUCGCGGGUUCAAUCCCCGUCUCUCACCCCA